AAUUUACUUGAGUUCCUGUAAUAUAAGCUAUUAUGAUUGUUUUUCAUAGUAUGGGGUUGUUCUUCCACAGAGCCACACCUCUGUUUAGUUUUUAUUUUGAGAUAGGGUCUCAUUGAGUUGCUUUGGCUGGUCUGGAACAUUCUUCUGCCUCAGCCUCAUAAAUAGGUAAGAUUAUAGGCAUGAAUAACUAUGCUCAGCUUUACUAACAUUUUAUAACAUUUUUCAUUAUUUUCAUUAAGCCAAUGAGAAUAAAAAUAGAAACAUGAAAAAUACAUUGAGUUUGUAGCACUAGAUUUAUUGAUAAGGGCAUAUAUUUUCCUGGGAAAUUAUAUCAUUACACAAUGAUCAAAGGAAAUCAUGGUGUCAAAAUAUCAUAUUAUUAUGUGUGCAACAUGACAAAGAUGUGGAGGAAGAACUUGUGAUGGGGUUUCUGGACCUCGAAUUUAAUGCAGUUUAUUAAGCAUUCUUUUAUAUACCAGGUAAAAGGCAAGAAAUCUACCAUUGAACUACCAGUGCCUCUUUGUAUACCAGAUGAAAAAAACCCUUAGUCACUGGCUCUUAAGGUUUCUGUCCUCAUAUUGGUACUUGCCCCUAUAAGUGAGGGGAAAGCCCAGAGCUGCUAUAGAGCAGAGAAAGCUUAUGUGAGGUAACUGAUUAAGAUAAUUACUGCAGAGCCUGAGACUAGGGGCAUGAGAGAAUUUUUAGCACACUUGGAAAAUAAGGAAGAUUGUAAGAAGACUUUUCAGGAAUGAAAUAAUCCUGAUUCCUUUAGACUGUCAUCAUGGUGUCUGUUUGCUGGCUCUUUAAUCAUUUUCACUGAGUUCUUCUCCAAGUCUCCUCAUCGCAAUUCCAAACAGAAGCUCCAGAGUGGACUAAGAUUGCUGAGUGCAAUGGGAACACAACGAGACUCUUAAACGUGUUAUUCAUUGCCACAGCUAAGUUGCUGUACAUAAUCUUUUUUAUGUGGUCUGAUUUCAGUAACUGGGUUUAGAGAAAUUACCAAAACAAAGGUAAAUUACCAGUUCAUACUGAUUUUUAAAAAAAUUCUGAAAGAAGAAAUUUUAGGAGCAUUCUGUAUUUGUGUCUCAUUUUCCUCUGAGUUCUUUUCUAUGAUGUUUUAAUCUGCUCUUUGGACAGUGGAUUAUACUUGUUUCGAUUGGAGUUGAAAGUAGAGUGGUGGCUUCUGAUGCUGAUGACAUUUUUUCAUUAAUUCAUUCCUGCACUCAAGAAAUAUUUUGAGGCCAGGCAUGGUGGUGUAUCUCCGCAAUCCCAGCACUGGGGAGACCAAGACAGUAGGAUUGCAUGUAAGAUCAAGGCCAGCCUGGGCUACAAAGUGAGUUUUAGGCCUGCCUGAACUACACAGUGUGAUCCAGUUUCAGAAAAAAAAAAAAGAAAUAUUUUGAACUUCUAGCAGAGUGUGAAAAGCUGUAUUCUAGAUUGUAGGGUUAAAAUGGUUAAGAGACAUAGUGCUACAUAGGGCAAAGGAGAAAGACAUUCAUAAAUAAUUAUAUAAUUUAAUAUCAAAAUAGAUGAGAUAAAAGGAA
ensembl:lncRNA